GACGAACGCUGGCGGCGUGCUUAACACAUGCCAGUCGAACGGAAAGGCCCUGCUUUUGUGGGGUGCUCGAGUGGCGAACGGGUGAGUAACACGUGAGUAACCUGCCCUUGACUUUGGGAUAACUUCAGGAAACUGGGGCUAAUACCGGAUAGGAGCUCCUGCUGCAUGGUGGGGGUUGGAAAGUUUCGGCGGUUGUGGAUGGACUCGCGGCUUAUCAGCUUGUUGGUGGGGUAGUGGCUUACCAAGGCUUUGACGGGUAGCCGGCCUGAGAGGGUGACCGGCCACAUUGGGAUUGAGAUACGGCCCAGACUCCUACGGGAGGCAGCAGUGGGGAAUAUUGCACAAUGGGCGGAAGCCUGAUGCAGCAACGCCGCGUGCGGGAUGACGGCCUUCGGGUUGUAAACCGCUUUCGCCUGUGACGAAGCGUGAGUGACGGUAAUGGGUAAAGAAGCACCGGCUAACUACGUG
rnacentral:rRNA from 1 species